UCGUGAACUCAGCACUGCUCCCCCACGCUUUGAUUAUGGCCACAAUCUUGGUUUUCCUAUUUCUAUAUUACGUCAUUAUCAUCAAAAGGUAUUUGUUUUGAGUUACGUAACCUUUAAUUUCCUAUAUUUUUAUUAAUUAGAAAUUAGGGUUUGUUAUUGAAACAAAAUGAAAAAUUGAGUCGAUUUUCAAAUGAAAUUGUUAAUGCAUUUAUAUUAAAAAGCCUUGGAAUAGCAGCCUAAACAAACCCUAAACAUAGAUUUGAGUUCGAUUUGACAUGAGAAUGACCGAUGAACAGAUUGAGUUCAUUCAGAUUUCACGACAUGGUCUUCGUGACCACGACGUGAAAAAUGGGUAUUCAGUUUUCUGUUUUGUUUUAAUUGCUUAACUGUUUAGUGGUUCUGUGCAUUUUGCUUGCUAUUAAUUUUUCAGGUACCAUGAGACCAAGGCAUGCAAUUCCUGAAGAACAAGAUCAUAUUGAUGUUCAAAGUAUACAUCCACUAUAUCGAUUCCCCAAAAAUAUUUCGCAAUCCAUGCUCAACAACUAUUCAAAUAAAUUGGGAUGGUUAUAUAAUCGGGAGUUCGCGUUAGCACCCGUGAUUGAUUGUUCUUGGCUAAGUGGGGUUGGAAUGGUGACGGAAUUGGAGUGAUAUUGGACAAAGCUAUAUGUAGGAGACAGGUUUAAUAUCCAAUGCAAUGGGUGGUGUAAUUUAUUUUCCAUUCAAGAACCGGUUUAUCGAGAGUUCUCCAUUGAACUCUUUGCCAUAAUUAGUUUUGAAGAACAGACGAUCGACCCGACUUUCAACCGGGCGCUUGCAUUUAGAUUGGGAGGUGUCUAUCGAGAAUGUAGCAUGUGUGAGUUUGCUUUGGGAAUGGGGUUAUACACAGAAAAGGAAACACAAUCAC
rnacentral:lncRNA from 1 species